rnacentral:rRNA from 1 species
GAUGAACGCUGGCGGCGUGCCUAAUACAUGCAAGUCGAGCGAACAGACGAGGAGUUUGCUCCUCUGACGUUAGCGGCGGACGGGAGAGUAACACGUGGAUAACCUACCUAUAAGACUGGGAUAACUUCGGGAAAUCGGAGCUAAUACCGGAUAAUAUAUUGAACCGCAUGGUUCAAUAGUGAAAGACGGUUUUGCUGUCACUUAUAGAUGGAUCCGCGCCGCAUUAGCUAGUUGGUAAGGUAACGGCUUACCAAGGCAACGAUGCGUACCCGACCUGAGAGGGUGAUCGGCCACACUGGAACUGAGACACGGUCCAGACUCCUACGGUGGGCAGCAGUAGGGAAUCUUCCGGAAUGGGCGAAAGCCUGACGGAGCAACGCCGCGUGAGUGAUGAAGGUCUUCGGAUCGGAAAACUCUGUUAUUCGGGAAGAACAAAUGUGUAAGUAACUAUGCACAUCUUGACGGUACCUAAUCAAAAAGCCACGGCUAACUACGUG